GGCCCCGCCGCUGCCCACGCAGCUCCUGGGGAAGCGGACAGCAGCAGCCUGCUGACUUCGCACUGUGUUUGCCUGCGGCCCCGCGUGCGAGGCGAGGGCGACGCCUCCUCGUUAACCGUUCAACUGCUGCGCAGCGAGAACGCCAGGGAUCACUGAACGGAAGGGACGUGGGCACCAGGCACCGCCCUCUCCACCAGCCUGCUGCCCCCUUCCCCCGGGCCUCAGGAUGGUCACUUCACAUAGGCUGUACACUUCAAUUCCUCAGGAUUGGAGUCAAACAGGAGCAGAUAUCCACUUCAUGUCUGUGGAUGCGGAUAUCUGAAGAUAGUGGAACAGAUACCUGCACAGAGCUUUCCGCCCAUCAGCCCUCCAACAGCUGCCAGGUGGGGGGACGGGAGGUGCCAGGGCAGGCUGCUAUACUGCUGGCAGGGAAAGGGCACAAGUUCCAUCCUAAAUCACCCUGCAGGAGGAGCCAAGUGCUGGCUCUGCCUGACCUUUCUCCUCACACUGCCUGGUGAGCAAUGACCCUGUGGAGCUCUGACCCUGGGUACCUGCUGUCCCAUACCCCUAGUCCUUACUGUUUCUUACUCCGUCUCCACUUUCAUACUGCCUGCCU